rnacentral:rRNA from 1 species
CCUACGGGUGGCAGCAGUCGAGAAUCUUUCACAAUGGUGGAAAGUCUGAUGGAGCGACGCCGCGUGGGGGAAUAAGGUUCUGCGUAUUGUAAACCCCUUUCAUGUGGGAGCAAAGUAAAAAGCGUGUACCAGAAUAGGAAGACAUGACGAACACUGAUCAAGCAGCAGCGUUACAACAGAGGCCUUAAGCGGUGUGCGGAGGGAAUGGUCGGAAAGUGUUGGGUUGCUGUUUCGUAAGGCGUGUGUGAAAGGCGCGGGCUCAAGCCGCGGACAGCAGCUGAAACUGGUAGUCUCGAGUAAGGGAGAGGGAAGCGGAAUUCACGGUGUAGCGGUGAAAUGCGUAGAUAUCGGGAGGAACACUGGUGGCGAAGGCGGCUUGCUGG